CUCCGGCUGCGGCGUGGAGCCCCCUGAGCUCCCACGGCUGGCAGGAUGCUCGGCCCCGCUGAGGAUCCGGCCCUCGCGCCGCAGCGAUGCCCUCUCCGAGCGCUUCGGCUUUGGCUUCCCUCCCAACGUGGGCUGCUGUUAUUCCAGAUUUACAUCUCCCCAGGCUCUUAUUCGCCUUAUGCUAUUUUUUCCCCGCGAAUGCCUUUUGUUGCUCUUGUUCCUUCUAGAAGCGUGAAAGGUGCCGGGCUUGCUGUUCCCCCCUCCCUUCCUUCCCGAGGCUGAUUUUGCAAUACUUUCCGUUUCUGCUGGCAUUUUGCAUUCGCUUUGAUUCGGAGCCACGAAGCGGAUCCCGGGCUGCGCUGGCUGCACCGUCUCCUCGUGCGAUCGAGCGAGCAGCCAAAGCGGGAAGGGAAACGUUGCAGGCGGCUCCCGCGCCGGUUUGCAGCCGUCCGAGUCCACGGCUUCCGCCCGGCUGGGUGAGAUGCCGUCCUCCAGCACCGCAGGAAAUUUCCAUGGGAGGAGCGUGGCCGCGUCCCCGAGGCCAUGGUCCCCGGAUCAGCUCUGCCGGUGGAGGUGACACGGCCGGGAACGGCUGCUGCAAAGCGCAUGAGGUAUCUGGUUCUUCCCUCCGUGCUCGCCUUCACCAGCACGUCUCCAUUGCCUCCACGAUUGCAGUUUCGGAAGAGCCUCUAGGCAAAUUUGUGUGCGUGUGAUAAAUCUGCAUGCUGCUCCCAUGGGGCCUCCUGGCUUGUGAAUUCUUCCCUCCUCGUGAUCAAAAUCUCUCCGUGGUGAUGGCUGAAGCUGGGAAAUUCUUCAAAAGGACUCGCUGCCGGUCUUCACCUUCCAUCGGCUUCUCUCACGGGCGAGAAAGUGGCUCCGUCGGCUCUGACCCGCCAGUCCUGACUACUCAAGAAGACACUUCUGUGACUCAGAACCCUUCUUAUUCUGGAAGCCUGGGAGAAGGAAACACCUCCCUGCCUCGCUGCGGCAGCACUGCGGUCCUCAGGUGUGCCGCCUGCAUCUCCUUCCUUCCCAGCAGUUUGGUCUGUUAUCACCAGUCGGUAUCCCUUGAUUUUUAUGGCUUGUGGACCACCGGAUUACCUUCGGUGAGUCCUGUCUUCUGGAAGCAGAGCAGCUCCUUUAUGCCACCACCCACCGAAAAAAUGCCAAAAGCCAGCGCCAAAGCCCAGAUUCUUUAUAAACAACCCCCAAAUGUCCCUCAACCAGGCCUCUGAGUCUGAGAACGGAGCAGCAUCCAAAACUUGUGGAAGCCUGCAAAGGAGCUCACCGGGGAGGACGGCGGCACACGACGGAGCAGCGGUUCCUCCCGGGAAGGCCGCUGGAGACGGCGUGUUGUUGCCAGGUCGCUCCCCAGGCCCUUGAUUCCAUCCCUUUGCUUUAGAUCCCCCCUCCGAUCGCUCUGACGAUUCCCCCUUCGAGGAAAACUUCUAGAAGACAUCGCUCUGCAUUGCCAUGGCAACUGGCAUGCGCCCAGCAGCGCCGGCUCUGCUCCGGACCCGCUCCCGGCGCCGCGGAGGGGCUGCACGCGUGAGAGUGCGGAGACGCCGGGACGGCCGGGAACGGCUUGCCCUGAUGCUGGGGGCCAUGAGGAGCCUUGCCGAACGGCAUCUUCUCCCAGGCAUUCCUGCAGAUCGGAGCAGCGCGCGUGACUCCGCGCAACGCCGCGGCGACGGGGCCGCGUUCUCAGUAACGAGGGACCGGGCACGCGGGGGAGGCACCGGCCGGCAUUUCGGCACCGGGGCCCGGCCGGAUGGCUACGGGGCUCCAGGUGUAGCGUUGCCGCAGAGCAGCUUGCCAAGGCUGCGAGGUGGCCGCAGCGCCUGCCGUCGUGCCGCCUCCUAAAAAAAGGCCGGCCAGAAACCUAUUCCGGGGCUCCCCCCAGCCCACCGCAUAAUAAAAUCAAAAUCGAUAGUACAAAGCGCUAAUGCCGCUAGCUCGCAGAGAGGCUGGCUGCCAGCAGAAGUGGUGUUUCUAUUCUCUCCUCCAUCACGCUUCCCAGUCGCGGUAUUUUUAGCAGGUGCUUUUGGUGUGCAUUGGCCGGGGCAGAGGGACUAGUCGGGCUCGGGAUAAGCACAGCGCUGAGGACGGGACUGGCGGGAACACAGUGCUUUUGCUGGGCAGUCGGUGGGCAUGUUUCCCAAAAAUAAACCAGGAGGGGACAAAUUUUUUUAACAAUUGCAUUGGUAAGAAUACAGCUGCCUUGCCAGGCACGGGGUGUUUCGACUACUACAGCUUGAUUUUUUGGUUUAUUGGCUGGAAAGCUGCAAACACUUCCAAGCAAGCCUUCUUUCCAGUUUGGAUGAAAUGAUUCAUUGAACCCCAAACAAGUCUUUCAGCACUCAAUAUCAGGUUGCUUCUUAAUCAAAAUUCUGUACUUU